UAUUGGACAAUGGGGGCAACCCUGAUCCAGCAAUGCCGCGUGAGUGAUGAAGGCCUUCGGGUUGUAAAGCUCUUUUGCCAGGGACGAUGAUGACGGUACCUGGAGAAUAAGCCCCGGCUAACUUCGUGCCAGCAGCCGCGGUAAUACGAAGGGGGCAAGCGUUGUUCGGAAUUACUGGGCGUAAAGGGCGCGUAGGCGGCUUAUCAAGUCAGGCGUGAAAUUCCCGGGCUCAACCUGGGGGCUGCGCUUGAUACUGGUUGGCUUGAAUGCGGGAGAGGAUAGUGGAAUUCCCAGUGUAGAGGUGAAAUUCGUAGAUAUUGGGAAGAACACCGGUGGCGAAGGCGGCUAUCUGGCCCGUAAUUGACGCUGAGGCGCGAAAGCGGGGGGAGCAAACAGG
rnacentral:rRNA from 1 species